rnacentral:tRNA from 1 species
GCGAGAGUGGUGAAAUUGGUAGACACGCCAGACUUAGGAUCUGGUGCCAUCGGCGUGGGGGUUCAAGUCCCUUCUCUCGCA